rnacentral:rRNA from 1 species
CCUACGGGUGGCAGCAGUGGGGAAUAUUCCACAAUGGGGGAAACCCUGAUGCAGCGACGCCGCGUGAGUGAAGAAGUAAUUCGUUAUGUAAAGCUCUAUCAGCAGGGAAGAAAAUGACGGUACCUGAGUAAGACGCCCCGGCUAACUACGUGCCAGCAGCCGCGGUAAUACGUAGGGGGCAAGCGUUACCCGGAUUUACUGGGGGGAAAGGGAGCGUAGAGGGCAGUGCAAGUCUGGAGGGAAAGGCGGGGGCUCAACCCACGGACUGCUCUGGAAACUGUACGGCUGGAGUGCAGGAGGGGGAAGUGGAAUUCCUAGUGUAGCGGUGAAAUGCGUAGAUAUAAGGAGGAACACCAGUGGCGAAAGCGGCUUACUGGACUGUAACUGACGUUGAGGCUCGAAAGCGUGGGGAGCAAACAGGAUUAGAUACCCGAGUAGUC